UACGUAGGGUGCGAGCGUUGUCCGGAAUUACUGGGCGUAAAGAGCUCGUAGGUGGUUUGUCGCGUUGUCCGGGAAAUUCCCUGGCUUAACUGGGGGCGUGCGGGCGAUACGGGCAGACUGGAGUACUGCAGGGGAGACUGGAAUUCCUGGUGUAGCGGUGGAAUGCGCAGAUAUCAGGAGGAACACCGGUGGCGAAGGCGGGUCUCUGGGCAGUAACUGACGCUGAGGAGCGAAAGCGUGGGGAGCGAACAGG
rnacentral:rRNA from 1 species